CCUACGGGAGGCUGCAGUGAGGAAUAUUGGUCAAUGGGAGAGAUCCUGAACCAGCCAAGCCGCGUGAGGGAAGACGGCCCUAUGGGUUGUAAACCUCUUUUGUCGGAGAACAAAACCCGGGACGUGUCCCGGACUGCGUGUAUCCGAAGAAAAAGCAUCGGCUAACUCCGUGCCAGCAGACGCGGUAAUACGGAGGAUGCGAGCGUUAUCCGGAUUUAUUGGGUUUAAAGGGUGCGUAGGCGGUCCGUUAAGUCAGCGGUAAAAUUGCGGGGCUCAACCCCGUCGAGCCGUUGAAACUGGCAGACUUGAGUUGGCGAGAAGUACGCGGAAUGCGCGGUGUAGCGGUGAAAUGCAUAGAUAUCGCGCAGAACUCCGAUUGCGAAGGCAGCAUACCGGCGCCAGACUGACGCUGAGGCACGAAAGCGUGGGGAUCGAACAGGAUUAGAUACCCCAGUAGUC
rnacentral:rRNA from 1 species